rnacentral:lncRNA from 1 species
CAGGCAAUGUCCGUCUCUGUGCUGAACAGCUGACCGUGGAGACGCCUCGCCGAGAUCCGCGAUGCUCUCGGCAAGGAACAGAACAGCAGGCCAGGCCACGCUCCGAGAUGCAGUACUCGCGCUGGCAACGCCGCCUCAGGUGGUGGUUCGCCGGCACCAGCACGGACGGCCGCGUUCCCUGGCUGGAACCUGGAUCGCCGGCGUCCGACGCUUCGGCCCGCUGUCUUGCGUCUGCCGCUGCUUCGGCUCCUCCCCAGCCACCAAGCACUUAGCCACGUAUCCUUCACAAGUGGCCCAAUCGUGGAACACCACCUCUAUGGACCCCCACAGGUCAUCAGCUGAUUGGCUGGCUUCAAGCACAGAGCUGGCUCCAAAUUG